GAUAUAGGUGUAUUAUGCAGAGUGUUG
rnacentral:sRNA from 1 species